AGAGUUUGAUCCUGGCUCAGGACGAACGCUGGCGGCGCGCCUAACACAUGCAAGUCGAACGGAGCUACUUUGACAGAUUCCUUCGGGAUGACGUUGAUUUAGCUUAGUGGCGAACGGGUGAGUAACACGUGAGCAACCUACCUUUCAGAGGGGGACAACAGUUGGAAACGACUGCUAAUACCGCAUAAGACCACGCUAUGGCAUCGUAGAGGGGUCAAAGGAGAAAUCCGCUGAAAGAUGGGCUCGCGUCCAAUUAGCUAGAUGGUGAGGUAACGGCUCACCAUGGCGACGAUUGGUAGCCGGACUGAGAGGUUGAACGGCCACAUUGGGACUGAGACACGGCCCAGACUCCUACGGGAGGCAGCAGUGGGGAAUAUUGCACAAUGGAGGAAACUCUGAUGCAGCGACGCCGCGUGAAGGAAGAAGGUCUUCGGAUUGUAAACUUCUGUUGUCAGGGACGAUAAUGACGGUACCUGACGAGAAAGCCACGGCUAACUACGUGCCAGCAGCCGCGGU
rnacentral:rRNA from 1 species